CCACACGGGCGUGUGGGCCCAUCUAUCUAAAAUUUUUCCUAGGGUUGCACGGGUCGUCCCAAACAACUGUGGGCCUACUGUAGGAUCGGUAAUCUACAGAGGUAGGUGGAUCGGUGCAACGAAGGACUCGACGGUGACCACCCGCUUUUACUGUUUUAUUUUGUUUUAUGGUUUUAAUUAAGUUUUGACAUUGAGACGAGAGAGGUUGUAUUUUUUGGGACUUUUGGAUCUUUUAAACUAUUUGGCGUUGGUUUUGGUUUUUUGGUUUUAA